GUGAAUCAUCGAGUCUUUGAACGCACCUUGCGCUCCUUGGUAUUCCGAGGAGCAUGCCUGUUUGAGUGUCAUUAAAUUCUCAACCUUACAAGUUUUUUGAACCUGUAUGGCUUGGAUCAUGGGAACUGCGGGCUUUAACAAGUCGGCUUUCCUUAAAUGCAUUAGCAGAACUUUUGUUGCUAACCUCUGGUGUGAUAAUUAUCUACGCUAUUGGGAAGCGACAUGUUGAAGUACCGCUUCUAAUCGUCUGUCAUGGACAACCUUUGACAAUCUGACCUCAAAUCAGGUAGGACUACCCGCUGAACUUAAGCAUAUCAAUAAGCGGAGG
rnacentral:rRNA from 1 species